rnacentral:lncRNA from 1 species
CAGCAGUCGCAGUGUAAGGAUGCAGAAAGAGAUUGUCAUGCUUGAAAUUAUGUGCCUGCUUCAAUCAUUGGAUGGUGGAAGAAAGCAUGCAGCUGAUUGAAUGAUUGAAAGACAGCUGAUCUGCAUCAAGAGAGAAAUGGCAUCAGAUGAGAAGCUCAGCCAGUGUUUGAUUUCAUACCUGUGUCUUUCCUCUUCAUCUGUGACAGUUGCAAGCACUACUUUAUUGUCAUGGGCUGUGACUAUACAAUGCAUGAUCCCUCAGUUCUUUCUAGGCAUUGUGUGAGCGUUUUCUUCACUGUGGUGUUUGGUGAGGUUAAGCCGUGUUUCAGUAUUUGUGAGAUGUUAGAUCUGAAUUUCUGAGGAACCUUGCACCAACAGUUGAAAUAAUUUCUUAAGUGAAGAUGGUUCUAAUUUGAUUAUUGCUGUAAAAU